AAUCCACAGAGGACUACACUUACAGGCAGGAUUGGAUUGGUGGUCGGUGUAAACUUUAAGUGAAGCCUCUCCUGUUUAGGCUUCUCGAAUUUUCAAAACUCAAAUGGCAAUGGCAUAGACCUGGAUGAGGCACAUGGUCUUCAAGUCUACCUCAGCUUCAAUGGUCAAACCCUUGAACGUGCAUGAGAGGACCGUGGUCAAUUACAGGAUAUUUAUUUGAGAGAGAGAGGAAGAGAGAGCAGAGGGAGGAGCAUAAAGAGAGACAGACUCCCAAGAAGACUCUGUGCUGAGCCAGUGGGGCUCCAUCCCAGGACCUUGAGACCAUGACCAGGUUGGAAAUCAAGAGUCAGAUGUUUAAGCAACUGAACCACCCAGGCACUCCAGAAAAUAAUCUUACAACAUUUUGAGUAAAAAAAGGUGUGGAGCUCUGCAAGGGACCUAGGACUCUGCAUUUCUACCAGCCUGCUGGUGCAGCAACUACUGGCCUCCAUCCCACACUCUAAGUGCUAGGGAUCUAGGGCCAUGAGCAUCAUAAGACCAGGAGCUAUCUUAUUCCUCUUUGUAUAUCCAGGGCAUAUUCUGGUGAAUAUCGCUGACAGCCGGCCCACAAGUGUUUGCAGGGUGGAUGGCAGAUGCAUGUAAAAAGCAAAAUGCAAAGCUGAGACAAAUGUAUUUUGGUUCUCUUCUGUUCCCAGGGUCUCCUAGGAAGCUAGGCUUAUAAAAGCCAAGAGAGCUUCUACCAUUCUCAAGUUCUCUACAACCAGAACUGACAAUUGGAGGCAAAAGUGAAUUUUCUAUUCAAAAUAAGGAAGUACUUUCGAAGAAUAGGAGCAUUCAAACCACAAGUGGUCUGAGGUCAUGCAUUUUCUAUCACUGGACGUGCUCAGGCUUAGGCAGCAUAGCCAUCCUUGGGUUGAUAAUAAUGCAGAUCCAUGUGCCUGGCUGAUAGGACCAGAGAACAUUUAAGAUUUCUCCCCAUCCUAAAAUCCUUCGGGAGUAAAGUUUGAAGGAAAUGGAGGUUACCCUUUAGGCAGUAGUUUAAAUUCUGGCACGUUCU